AGGAGCAAGAUAUGGCACCACAAAAUCAAGAUCAACAGGAUAAUAGAGUGUCAAGCUGUAUUUAAAACUUACGAACAUGCAAAACUAUUCAAUAUAUAGUUUAAUAGUACAGAAAGUUUAAGUCAAGCUACAAAGAAAGGCAGUUGACUAAUGAACAUAUAAUUCAGGAGAGUGGCUACCGAGGACGUGGUUGUUUGGUGAAGGGGGUGGUGGCCCACAGAAGGAGGCUAAGAACUUUGGCCUACCUGUCAGUCCUGCCCUGCGUGUCACCUCAGCCUGGAAGUCCAUAGGACUGUGAUGAAGAUGACUGCUUGCAUUUUCUGAAUCACUUUGUCGAUGAGACAUGCAUCCUAUUAGAUCUAACAAAGCUUCACAGAAAGGUUGUUUUGAAGUUGACACUGAGGAAGAUAUAAGUGCUCUAGGAUCAGUAUGUGAGGCUGCCACAAACAUGCUAUAGUCUGCACAUUCUUGCAGAGAGGUUGCAGAGUCUGCUUGGGAGAGAAGCCUCAAAAACAUGGCUGGUGUCUUGGCAGAGUUUGCUCUGGCCCCCAGGAGGGUGUACAAACAGCCUUCAUGAGAAGGUGACUUGCUGGCCACUCUUAACCACUAGAAGAAACUGAUGCCAUGGAACUUUGAAAAAUCAGAAAGCAAUUCCACAAAAGAAGAACCUCUGAAGAUAGUAGAGCCCAAUGAAGAUAAAUGACAUCGCCCAUAGGAGGGAACAGUGGUAUCAACCUAAAGGGGCUCACUGCCCUAUGUGCUGGAGGCCAAUACUAUGACAAUGGGUUUUUGAGAAAAUAAAAGCUUUGCAUUGAGAUUCAACCCCUAA
rnacentral:lncRNA from 1 species